rnacentral:lncRNA from 9 species
AAGCUCUGAAUGAUUAGAGGUUGUUUUCUCAACUCAGCGGAGCUUUCCAGCGACCAAAUAACUGAGGUAUGCUCUCAAAAGGGUUGGCAGGUUAACCUAGUAACUUGAGUUCCCCUUCUAUCACUCAAGGCUCUGUGACCUUGGUGAGUCAUUUAACCUGACAGGCCUUUAGCUGCUUCACUUGUAAAUGUGGAAGGGAGGCUAAUCUGUAGGCUCCCAUGAGCUUUAAUUCUGUAGUUUUCCAACUCCUUUUCUAGGAGGGACAGUCAGUGUGGAUACAUGGGUGAUUUCAGCCUUACUAUGGGCCUGGCUUUGUGAUGUCACAAACAAGCCUUGACAGCCUAGGUGGUCUGACAAGCAGGGUCUGGCCUUGGCAUCUGAAGACUCACCAAGGUUUUAGCUUCUUUGACAUCCCACUUCUCUCUGCCUGUCGAAUGACCAGAACUCAUGCAAAUUCAAACUCUGGGAAGCAAAGGAGGUGGAGGUUGUGGCUAUGAACACUUUGACCUUGGCAAUGUUUCAUGACAAAGUGGUUGUGACUGGGCAACUUGGACAAUAUGAAAGUUGGAUGACUGGGCUUCUCAAGAUUGGCAGCAACCGCAGUGAAACCAUCUCCUGUAGACAGUCCAGGCAUGGCUUUAAUAAAGAAUGGACGAUUGUGGGAGUUCCUGUCGUGGCACAAUGGUUAACGAAUCCGACUAGGAACCAUGAGGUUUCGGGUUCGAUCCCUGGCCUUGCUCAGUGGGUUAAGGAUCUGGCGUUGCCAUGAGCUGUGGUGUGGGCCGCAGACGCAGCUCGGAUCCCGCGUUGCUGUGGCUCUGGCAUAGGCCAGUGGCUACAGCUCUGAUUAGAUCCCUAGCCUGGGAACCUCCAUAUGCCGCAGGAGCGGCCCUAGAAAAGACAAAAAAAAAAAAGAAGAAGAAUGGACGAUUGUGGAUGAGUCCUUGGAGACAGGAGCACAAAAUGUCACGUGUAUUAGUUUUAAUCACCUGAUUCAUUUUUCCACUAGGGUUUUCACAAUGGUAACAUCUUCACAUUUAAAAUUCUGAAGGAAGCACAAGCCAGUGGGGAGCCAGGGGUCAAGAAAAAGAUAUAGAGCAAGGCAAAUGACAAGUCAAGUUCAGGCAGUGGUGAUGUGUCAUAUUGUAACAAUGGGACAGGGAAGUUGGGUGGGGAGGGUACU